rnacentral:tmRNA from 1 species
ACUCGUUGGACCCGGGGGCGGUACCCGGCGCCUCCACCAAAAUAUAAAAAGAAAAUUAUAUUUUGGUGGGGGCGAAAUAGGAUCGACAAGAGCGUAAAGAUUGCUCUUUUACUCGGCAUAGUACCACCGUUAUCGGACUAAAUGAGUAGUUGCAAAUGACAACUAUGCGGAAGCACGUCUCGCUGCUUGAUGCAGUGCGAAUGUUUCAAUUUAAGUCUUAAACCGUCGCAGGUUUAAGCGGGGUUCGGAGG